CAAUAUAUAAUGAACUGAUUAGUUGAAGAAGAAGAAAGAAAUAGGGAAAGGAGUAGCGCGAAAUAACACCGCGCAGAAAACGUCUCCAAUGUUCUCUUUCAGUCUGACCCCUACAGUCCACCACUCGCAUCUCCUCCUCCAUAGAAGUUCCGGCAGAUCUCCGCCUAGAAUUCUGAUUAGUCCCUUCACUGUUCGAUCGUCUUCCAGUCUUCAGGAGGUCGAGAAGUUUUCAGAAUCAUCGGCUGACCGCAAAGACCUCAGUUCGGAGCUCUACGCUUCGGUUCCGCUGCCUCCUAUUAAGACUGCGAAGAGAGUGGUUCUGGUAAGGCAUGGACAGAGCACGUGGAAUGCUGAAGGUAGAAUUCAAGGAAGCUCCAAUUUCUCUGUUCUCACUAAGAAAGGGGAAGCUCAGGCAGAGACCUCUCGCCAAAUGCUCUUUGACGAUGCAUUUGAUGUCUGCUUCAGCAGCCCCCUAGUGCGAUCAAAGAGGACUGCAGAAAUUAUAUGGGGUGAUCGUGAGGAGGUGAUACUUACAGAUUCAGAACUAAGGGAAAUUGAUUUAUAUUCAUUUCAAGGUCUACUCAAGCACGAAGGGAAGGAAAAAUUUGGUGCCGCUUAUCGUCAAUGGCAGGUAGAUGCUGCAAAUUUUAACAUUGAUGGCCACUAUCCAGUGAGGGAGUUGUGGACGCGUGCUCGAAAUUGUUGGAAUAGAAUUCUUGCUCACGAGAGCAGAUCUGUCCUAGUGGUUGCUCACAAUGCUGUCAAUCAGGCUCUUGUUGCCACAGCUAUUGGACUGGGAGCUGAGUACUUCAGGGUUUUACUUCAGAGCAACUGUGGUGUUAGCGUUCUUGAUUUUACUCCCCAACCUGAGGGUGGAUCUCCAAUUAUUUGUUUAAACCGUUUAAAUCAGACCCCGAACUCACCUGUAGCUUCCAGUAGUUCUGGAGGCAGAAAAACAACAAAAAGGAUCAUACUUGUUUGCCAUGGAGUUUCCGAGGAUAAUAGGGCCAGUUCUUCCUUCCUGGAGGAUAAGCCAAUGAACGUUCUUGGGACUAUACAGUCCCAGAAAGUUGCAGAACUCCUUCUUGAUCUAAAAGUGAGCGCUGUAAUAAGCAGUCCCAAGAAAGCUUGUGUAGAGACGGCUGUAGCAGUUUCCAGAGUACAAGAAGCUGCAGAUUGCUUGGGUGCUGAUUGUGUGCCUCGCUAUGUGGAGAUGAAACAGACGAAUAAACUUGAUGUGGACAGUAUUCCUGAUCAUUUCAAGCAGGAUAUAGGCGACACCAAUGUCUUUGAACCUGGCUGGUUAAAUAAAUUGAACGGUGGGGUGAUUACAGAAGUGUGGAAUCAGAGUGGUGAAGCCUGGAAGUCUCUGUUGAAUGAGAUGGGUGAUGAAAAGGAGCCGGAAAAGAUUAUUGUUGUGGUUGGUCAUCCUGCCAUUCUUUUAGGAUUGGUUGGGCAGUGCCUAAAUCUCACAAAAGAUUGGAUUGGAUCAUUUCAUCUGGAUGCUGGAAGCAUUAGUGUGCUUGACUUCCCUGAUGGGCCUAGUAGCAGGGGUGUUAUCCGAUGCAUAAAUUACACUGCUCAUCUGGGGAGAUGGUCAAUUCCUAUUACUAGACCUACCGUGGACGAUGAAGAGUUUUGACGGUGAUGGACAGAAAACACCUAAAGGAACUCAACUUCGAUAGAAUUCGCCCGAACAGCAUGUUGAUGUUUGAAAUUGCCAUAUGCAAGAAAACCUUGGGUUUGUUUGAGACAGAAUCUUGAGGCUAUCACAAAGAGCUGUUGAAGAUAAAGAGAGUAAACAGUCUAUAAUCAAUUGGGCUGUCUACUUGGACCACAGGUUUCUCCUACCAUUUGCAUCUAAUUGGGCUAGGUUCUUGGGUGAUCUAUCAAGCCGAGAAAUGGGAAAAGAUGGCUUUCAAGUUCAUCGAUGGGUAGAGAUUGACGUCUCUUCUCGUGCUGUGUGCGGCAGAUCCAAUCACAAAACAUGGAUCCAACGGUACACAACUAUCCUAAUGCAGCAAGUUUAAAUUA